AUCUGAAAUCAAACAACACAUUAACAGUUUUGUUUUUUUUAUUGUCUGAAUGAAUUAUUCAAUAACGAGAAACGGAAUAAUUAUUUGAUUAUUCAAAUGUUGUGUUUUUAAUUAACGGUUCUGGUUCGACCCCUGCACCAUACGUUUUGGUCAAUGAAUAGUCGUGGUUUCUUGACAACACAGAAACUGAUAAAUGGGUCUUUCUUCGUGUUAUUGAUCGAUACAUGUAAUCGAAAUAAACAGAUAAAUGUUGUUUAUAUAUAUUUUUUAAAGUAUCAUUCCAAUGAUUUGAUGAUUGACAGUCCACUGUAGUGGGUUAUGUGACAUGUCCUGAGUCAAAAAAAAUCUCACUUUUUUCAUUGUUCCGCUCUAAUGAGGGACUGAUUUAGACCUGGGAUACCAGGUGUGUGCAAUCAAUUAUUAGGUAGAACAGAAAACCAGCAGGCCCCGGACCUCGUAGGGUAAGAGUUAAGUACCCCUGCUCUAUAACAUGCCACCGAUCACUACAAGAUUCAGCGCCUAUGAGAAUAGACAACAUAACCACUUGGGCAGUCAGUCCGAUGAUAUUUGCGGUUCAUGACCAAUUAUCUAUACAGUGGUCAUGACCAAUGGAGAACAGUUUUUAGUUUUGCCUACAUCAGGAUCUGGCUAUUUGUGAUGAGCCUAUAAGGUACAUCAAUAAUAAGGUAUGAUAUAAAAAAAGAGAGAGCUUUGUCCACAGACCUAUAGCAUAUGAUACGUCCUUUGAAACUCUCUGAUGUGCAAUCAUGGGUAAAGACCAGGGCCUUGAUUCCCAAAAUAAUUUUGGUUCAUCGUUAGAACCAUAGGAUCCUAUGGUUCUUACGAUGAACUUAGCUUUAACCCUAGGAUGCAUAGUAAACAUGACGCCCCAAUAAUGCAUAUGACGGGUCAAAAUGACCCGAUAAUGUAAUAUCUGUUUUUUUACUUAUAUGGGUCUAAAAUAUUAUCCAUUAUGUGGAACAUCAUUAUUUUGAGUGAUGAUUUGAACCUAUCAAUAAUUAUUUUAAUGUUUUUAGUCACUCUUCACCAGUUUGAUACACAUUUCAAUGAUAACAUAUUAUGAAAAUUAUAACAGCUGUUGAAUAUAUUAGCAUAUUUUCAUACAAUCAAUCUUACAAUCAAAGUUUCACAUUCAACCUUUUAGUGUGAAUAACAAAAUAAAACCACCUUAAGCAUGUUUAAUAAUAUUUCAGAACAUUUAUUUGAAAAUCAAAAGUUCAUCAGUAUAAAUGACAAAACUAACAAUUGUGAAUUUAGAAAACAUGAACACUAAAAGGAACAGAGGUGUGUGUGUGUGUGUGUGUGUGUGUGUGUGUGAUUGCUGACUUAUGCUGUCUUAGACCAUGCAUUUGUUACAAACCACAAGCAUGUGACUGUGCUCUUUGCAGAUGGCUGUGUUGCACUGAGAACACCAGCAGCUGACUUUUCCAUCCUUUGCGUUUUGGGCAGAGCUGGCACCUCUUCCUCUUCUGGCCCUGGCUGCUCUGAGUGGUGGUGGCAUGGCUCUCUUUCAUCACCCCACAUCUUUCCAUUGACUCAGUUCUUCUGUGGAGAAGGGAGAACCUUCCAGAAGGACAACCAUCUCUGCAUCACUCCAACAAUCAGGCCUUUAUGGUAGAGUGGCCAGACGUAAGACACUUCUCAGUAAAAGGCGCACGACAGCCCGCUUGGAAUUUGCCAAAAGGCACCUAAAGGACUCUCAGACCAUGAGAAACAAGAGUCUCUGGCCUGAUGAAACCAAGACUGAACUCUUUGGAUGGAAUGCCAAGCGUCACGUCUGGAAGAAAGCUGCUCAUCCAGUUCACUCCAGUAAGACCCCUUUUUACUCAAUCUAUUUGACUGCUUUUCACAGAUGGGGAGGAGUCCCCCCCAUCUGUAGAAUCAUCUAGGACAGCUGGACUACCAGGUGCCUCCAUAACUCCAGCUUGACCCACAGGCACAUAGUCUUUGUCAUCUGAAUUGGAUACCUCAGAUUCUGAGUAGGACGCACCAAUGGCUUCCUCAUCCAGCAUCUGUAAAACCAUUUUAGUUGUAUAUCUGGGGACAUUCUUAUGAGCCUCCUUAUGAAACUCCUUUUACUCAAUGAGUUAAAAAGGACAAAUGAAAACGGUGAUUAAUGAACAUUAAAAACAAGAUAUUUAAUAAAUAUUUGAUCAAUUACUUGGAUUUUAUUAUUGUAGAGCCCCCCAAUUUGGAAUAUUCUGUGUGUCCAUUACAUGAAAUCCAAAUAAAAAUCCAUAUAAAUUACAGAUUGUAAUGCAACAAAAUAGGAAAAACACUACGGGGGAUGAAUUAUUUUGCAAGGCACUGUAAUAUGUAAGAUUAAAACAUGAAGAACGACCCAUUUAUAAUUUUCUGUGUCGUCUGGAAGCAACAAAACAAACCGUACUGUGCAUGGGUUGAACCAGAACCGAUCAUUAAAAACACAUUUGAAUAAUCUAAUCAAUAGGCCCUACUGCUUUUCUCGUUAUUUAAUAUUUUCUUUAGACAAUAAAAACUAAAAACUAAACCGUUUAGGCCUUGUCAGGAAUCCCGCUUCUUGAGUCUGUUUUCUGCCUGAGCUGACUGUUUUUUGUUUUGGAGUCUUUUGUCUGAGGUUCCUGAACGCACCCUGUCUGGUUGCCAGGCGACAAAGCUAGGCGGGAGAACUUUUGAUUACCCGCACCUGCAUCUCAUCAACCAUCUGCACACCUGGUCCUGAUCAUCACCUCUUCAUAAGCCCUGACCUGACAUCCAUUCCCUGCCGGAUCGUUAGCAACGAACAUCAUUCUCCCGGAACAUUCAAUUCCCUUGCCUGGCCGUCGGUGGAUUCAGUGAUUUCAUUGGAUCAACCCAUUCACUGUCAUCAACUCACCUCCUCUGCCGUUCCGUCUCCUGGAUUAUUCAAUUUACACAUCAAGACUACCAAUAAAUACUCACCUUCAUUUUACUCACCUUGUCCUGGUCUGCUUCUGGGUUCUGUCUUAGAGAAACGUGACAGGCAUAUGUGUUAUUUGAUUUCAGACUCAAAAAGUAGGCUACACCGAUCCCAAUGUCAUAAGUAGUUGAACAUGUUCUUACUCCAACCUCGUGAAGGUGACAAACUGACGUGUUUUCAUUUUAGUCAAAAACAACUAUAUUUCAGAAAUAUGGACACUAAGCGCAAGACUCUAGACCAUUACUUGGGCUUCUUCAAGUUUCAUGCUUUCUGUUGCUUUCUCCUUCUUAUGAUAGACUCUACUUUGAGUACAUUGCAAAUACUGAGGAUAUCCAUUUAAGUUGAAAUUUCAAUGUUGUCAAUUAUAAAUAAACAACAAUGUUCUGUGUAA